CAAAAAGAUCAUUUAUUGGCUGACAUAGUUAUGAAGUCCAAGGAGGUGGAUAAAACUUAAGGCAUUCAGGUAUGGCUGCAGUCAAGGGCUCAAAUUCUGUCUUUAGGGCUAUGUCUUUCUUUAUUCCUAACUCAGUGUGUCAGCAAAGAUAGACUCUGAUUACUUGACACUUGAGGGAGAAAGAGAUGGAGAUACUCUGUUUGUCUGUCUGUCUCUCUUUCUGGAACUCUGAUUGGUCCUGCAUAAGUCGUCUUCUUUACUGGGCUAAUCAAUGUCCAGAGGGAUGGAUUCUAAUGAGCCAGCCUGGGCUGUGCACUAGCUGAUAAGGUGGGAAAGGUGGCCGUAGUCCCUGUAGGUCAGUGAAUGCCAAUUUCUCAAAAGAAAAAAAUAUCUCUACAGAAUCAUUUCAGAAAGACAUCAGCUUUGGGGAGCAGUGUAUUCUCUACCCCUCCAAAUCACACUGGCUGGAUUCCUGUUCUGCCUGGUGUUCUGGACACUGAUGAUGACUCUGGGCUUUCCCAGGAAGAAGCUGCCUGUGUCUGAGGGAAACAAGCUUUCUCUGAAAGUUUGAUGAAGAGUGGACGGUUGUGUAGAAAUGUGAUCAGGGAAAGAGUACGAGGUCACCACCAGAGCAUGGCUGCCAAUGAAUGGUGUAGGUCAAAACCUACUCCCAGGAACUGAACCCAGGCCACUGAAGCGGAACCUGCUCAACUUAGCUGCUAGGCCAUGGAAACGGCCCCUUGAAUAUUUUAAGCUGAAGGAAUUUGAGAAACAGCAGGUGCAGGAAAGACUCUCUAACUUCUCUCUCCUCUCUUGAAGCAUAAAUCCCUCAUGUGAGAGGAAUGCUCCCUAUACCCAGCAGAAAGGAGCAUCCUUAUCUCCGAAGACAAAGAGACACCAAGAAGAAUCCUAACAAACAGCCUCCGCAAAGUUACCCCAGUUUAUCACACCCUUUUGUCCUAUCAUAUUUUUCCACAACUUCCCACUUUUCAUCAAAUCUUCUAUUAAAAAAUGCUGAAGUUGAACUCUUUCUUCAGGUCUCCAUUUCCUUAUGAAGGCUGUUGUGUCAUGUAAACUCAUAUUAAAUAAAUUUGUAUGUUCUUCUCUUGUUCAUUUGUCCUUUGUCAGUUCAAUUUAUGGUGCCCCAGCUGGAGAGCCUAGGAGGGUAGUAGGGAAAGGAAUUUUUCAGCCACUACAAAAUGAUAUUAAAAAG
rnacentral:lncRNA from 1 species